CAGCCGUAAACAAUGUGCGUUAGGUGUGUCGGUAACCACGUGUUACUGAUGCGCCGAAGAGAAAUCGUGAAACGCACCACCUGGGAAGUACGGUCGCAAGGCUGAAACUUAAAGGAAUUGGCGGGGGAGCACCACAACAGGUGGAGCCUGCGGUUUAAUUGGAUUCAACGCCGGACAUCUCACCGGAUAAGACAGCUGAAUGAUUGCCGGGCUGAAGACUCUGCAUGACUAGCUGAGAGGAGGUGCAUGGCGUAGACGUCU
rnacentral:rRNA from 1 species